CUAACCAUGCAAAUUGGCGAAAGACAAACAUCAAAUGAAAUUCAAAGAAACUGAUAUAGCAUGCAUUGUUAAGCACGUGAAUAACAUCAACACAUAGUUUAGCAUUAAGUAAUGAUAAUGCUGUUCAAAUGAGAAAAACUCCAAACUGACAUUCAUUUUUCCUUGUACAUAAAUACAAAAUUUGAGAUAGCUAAGCAAAAAUCCACCGCUACUCAAGCCACCCCUUGCCUUUGGUGUUCCAUUCGGUGCUUGAUUUUCCAGUACGGAUCGUCACGUUCAUAGAAAUGUGGGUUUCUUGUUCAUGGUUAAGCCGAACUUGCGACUAAAAUAUGCGGCGCAUAUCGUUAACUGAUUCGAUCAGAUCCAAUUGUGAAGCCCUUUGAAGAAUUUACCUUUGUUGAUUGUAGCCCUUUCUACCUCAAAGCACUUUUGAAAAUCUUGCUUACAUGUUGGGCAUCGGAUUUUUAUCGAGCAUUCGGCAAAGAAGUGGAUCUUACUCCUGCAGCUGUGACAUACUCCAGAAUUCUUUCCCAGCAUUCUAACAUGGGAUUCAGACACCAAAAACAAAAGUUAAACGAUAAAUGUGAAGUAUGACCAAUCAUUCGGAACACUUGCUCUACGACAAUGGCUUCACCAAAUACAACUUUUAUGCAAUAUACCCUGUUUCUUAUAAUCCGUAAAUGCACUAUACAUUCUUCUCAAAUUAUAAUUGUUGAAGGAUAGUGUAUUCCCAAAUCAAACCAAAAAGGGAUUAACAUAAACCAAACAUUGAAAAUUCAUAAAUUCUCAUAAUUAAAACCUUAUUUUAAACUACGAAGGGUAAUGUUCAAAGUAAAAACAUUUCAACAAUGUGAAACCCUACUGUUCAAAUCGAUGUUUACAGUUAUAAGGGUUAAUUUACACCAAAGUGUCGAAAAAUCGUAAUUUCUCAACGUAAAGAUGUAUCAAACAACAUACAUCUUAAAGUAUAACGAACAAUGCUUACUGUCAAGCUAAUGUUUUGAAAUUUGGUGGAAUUGAUAUUGGAGAUCUGAAGAUAGUCAGCCGACGAGUUCGCGGUGGCUGGAGGUAGGAGACGGUGAUGAAUUUGUCGAUACUCGACGGUGUAUGUUACCAGAUGGCCUGAGGUGUCGAGAUGGUUGGAGGUGACGAGUGCACUGGGGUCGUGGAUUCCCGUGAUUUGGAAUAGUAAGAGACGUCGCCAGAAUUGGGGAGAAGUUGGGGAGAGGAUGGAGGGUUUUUUCCUUUUGCCUUUGGUACCAAUAAUGGACUGACGCCG
rnacentral:lncRNA from 1 species